rnacentral:rRNA from 1 species
AUUGAACGCUGGCGGCAUGCUUUACACGUGCAAGUCGAACGGUAACAGGCCGCAAGGUGCUGACGAGUGGCGAACGGGUGAGUAAUGCAUCGGAACGUGCCCAGUCGUGGAGGAUAACGCAGCGAAAGCUGUGCUAAUACCGCAUACGAUCUGUGGAUGAAAGCGGGGGACCGUAAGGCCUCGCGCGAUUGGAGCGGCCGAUGUCAGAUUAGGUAGUUGGUGGGGUAAAGGCUCACCAAGCCGACGAUCUGUAGCUGGUCUGAGAGGACGACCAGCCACACUGGGACUGAGACACGGCCCAGACUCCUACGGGAGGCAGCAGUGGGGAAUUUUGGACAAUGGGCGCAAGCCUGAUCCAGCAAUGCCGCGUGCAGGAAGAGGGCCUUCGGGUUGUAAACUGCUUUUGUACGGAGCGAAAAGGCUCUCUCUAAUACAGGGGGCUCAUGACGGUACCGUAAGAAUAAGCACCGGCUAACUACGUGCCAGCCGCCGCAGUAACAC